CGAAGAAGAGUUUGGCGUCUGUUCUGAGUUUUUUGAUUUGAGUUGCAGAAGUGCCCUGAAAUAAUUAUUUACUACCUGCUCGUCUGUUUUUCACAGAUUCUGCCACGUUUUGCGUUUUCAUCGUUUUGCAAAAAACUUUUUGGCAAUCUUGAGAAACAGUAUCUCUUCAUGAAAAUCUUUAUUUCCAGUGGAAAAAAUUUAUUUUUAUUAUGGGUACUAACCACUCUAAUCAGCUUAUGAUGAGUUUCGUAUGAAGGGAGUUUUCAAGUAUGCGAUGGAAGAUGAUGAAAGAAGAUCCAGGAGUGUCAAACGCUCAAGCUUGGGGAUGCCCCCAUUUACCCCCAAGAAUUAUCCAAGGACACUCAAGUGUCUAAGCUUGGGGAUACUCCCGUGCAUCCCCUUCUCCAUCAACAAUCAUCAGUUCGUCCUUCUCCAUGCUAUACUUUUAUCACUUCAUAUGUUAUGUGCUAUGCUUGGAGCGUCUCACUCUUUACUUUUUAGUUUAUUUUAGUUUUUGCUUGUUGUUCAUAACAAGUUGGACCCUAGCCUUCUUUGUUUGGGGGGAGAAACACGCUCCACUCCACCAUAGAACACAACAUAGGUUUUCUUGCUUAUCUUUUUGUGUGGUCUUUAUCUUUUCAUAGCUGUUGUCAUGCUUAGCUCUUAGUUUUCACGCUUUAUCUUUUUAAGAGAUUUUAUUUAGAUGCUUUUGGAACUCUCUUGAGUUAUCAUGCUUAUCUUGUUUAGAGAGUUGGCUUGCUGCACUGAGUCGUGUGUCUUGCAUGAGUAGGUAACUGAGGUUGCUAUUUAAGUAUAGUAGUAACUUGCAAUAGUUUUGAGGUAUUGAUUUGAGUAAUGUUUGGACUUUUGGUGUCAAGAGCAUGAGCCUAUUAGUGAUAGGUCUCGUAUUUUGGAAAAUCCGUGUGUAUUUUCAAAAACUACAAAAAAUUAGUUGAGAACUCUAGCUACUAGAUGGAUCUCUAACCUCUGGAGGGGUUGGAAUAUAUAGAGUACCCUCACGUUAUCAUGGGUCGAGGAUGCGCAAGGAUAACCAAACCCCCAAACACUCUUUCUUGGGAUACUUGUCUCUUUGUGAAUCUCCUGACUAGAUAGAGAGUUACCGAUAAUAAGUGCAUGAGUUGUUCGGACUAAUGCGAGUAUUCAAUUGUUGGCUCUUCCACCAUCCAUAUUUUGCUAGCCUCUUCGGUACCUUGCAUUGCCCUUUCUCAUCUUGAGAGUUGGUGCAUACUUCGCUGGUGCAUUCAAACCCUUGGCAUGAUACGCUCUGUCAUCAUAAGCUCAUUAUAUCCUUCCUCAAAACAGCCACCAUACCUACCUAUCAAGGCAUUUCCAUAGUCUUUCCGAGAUACAUUGCCAUGCAACAUCCACCAUCUCAUGACUUGAUCUUCAUGUCAUACAUGCUUUUUCUUGAUCGAGGAGCCACAUGCUAGUUUGGCUUUGCCCUUAUUAUUGCUACAUGAUGCGCUAGUAUCAUUGCAUAUCCUGCUACACUGGCAGAGGCAUACAUUUUCAUACAUCAUGAUAGUUUUCAUUUAUCUUUAUGUUGAGUACUUCUUAUAAAGUGUGAAGAUCUUCUUUCUUAUUUCUUGUAAAAUAUAGAGUGUUGCCCUUAAGUGAGGAAAAUAUCCCAAAGAGGACAAAUUAAAAGAUCCCAAAAGAGAACACAUGAAAAGAUCCCAAAGAGGACAAAUGAGAGAUAAAUAGAAAGAGCCAAGGAGGCCACAAAAUAUAAAAGGGAAAGAAAUAAAAAGAGAGAAGGGGGCAACACUACUAUUCCCUUUGAAAGUUCCACACUCGUACUCCAUUAUCAUAUUUGUACUCCAUAGAGAUUAUCAUUCAUGCAUAACUAUGUGGGGACCCUUACACUAUAGAACUUGGCUUUGUAUAUUCCAAUGAUGAGCCUCCUCAAAUGAGCUCUAGGUCUUCAUGAGCAAGCAAGUUGGAUGCACCCCCACUAGUUCCAUUAGAGAGGUUAUCUUAGCUCAUAUGUGCAUCUGUUGCAUGGUAAUCCCUACUCCUCACAUCAUAUCUAUCAUUUUGCUUUCUCUUGCCUAUGGUUGUCCUCAUUGAUGUGAGCCUUUCACACCUUCUUUGUCUACCUUCCCCAUCAUUAUUCUCUUUGCCACCCUAAGUGCCAACAUAUCUUGCUUGCGCUCAUCCAUUGCAUGAGUUCUCAAAGUCGAAAGGGAGAGGAUCAUUUUGACUUGUGCCUGACUAGUGGUCUGGGGAUGAGUCAAAAUAAGAUUCAGAAGGAGACCAAGUGUGAAGUUUUAGUAGAUUGAGUUCUCAAUUAAACUAUAUAAUAUUUUUUAUGCUCUAAACCCAUCUCCUACUUCUUGCACGCAAACACCAUUUGGAGACAUUCGCGUCACGGAUAGUGAGAGCUCUUGCACCUUUAUGUUCUUACUUUGCUAGUUUCAAUACUACAUAUAGACUCUUGCGUGUUAUUGUCUUGACUUGAAUUGCAUAUCUUAAUUGCUUUACUUUGAAGUUCUUAUAUGUGUGUUAGCAUGUCACCACAGAAAUUAUGCUUGUUAUCAUUUACCUACUCGAGGACGAGCAGGAAUUAAGCUUGGGGAUGUUGAUACGUCCCAAACGUAUCUAUAAUUUCUGCUUGCUCCAUGCAAGUUUUGGGUGAUAUUGCUAUGUGUUUUGUACACUUUCAUACCUUUUUCAACAUAUUUGGAAUAACCUACUAACUCAGUGCACCCAGUGCUAAUAUAUGUGUGCUGAUGUCUGUGAAUUGCAGAUUUAUACCCAUA
rnacentral:lncRNA from 1 species